rnacentral:rRNA from 1 species
CCUACGGGCGGCAGCAGUGGGGAAUAUUGGACAAUGGGCGAAAGCCUGAUCCAGCCAUGCCGCGUGUGUGAAGAAGGCCUUCGGGUUGUAAAGCACUUUCAGUGGGGAAGAAAGCCUUGGGGCUAAUACCCUCGAGGAAGGACAUCACCCACAGAAGAAGCACCGGCUAACUCCGUGCCAGCAGCCGCGGUAAUACGGAGGGUGCGAGCGUUAAUCGGAAUUACUGGGCGUAAAGCGCGCGUAGGCGGUCUGAUAAGCCGGUUGUGAAAGCCCCGGGCUCAACCUGGGAACGGCAUCCGGAACUGUCAGGCUAGAGUGCAGGAGAGGAAGGUAGAAUUCCCGGUGGAGCGGUGAAAUGCGUAGAGAUCGGGAGGAAUACCAGUGGCGAAGGCGGCCUUCUGGACUGACACUGACGCUGAGGUGCGAAAGCGUGGGUAGCAAACAGGAUUAGAUACCCGAGUAGUC